rnacentral:rRNA from 1 species
UGGGGAAUAUUGCACAAUGGGCGCAAGCCUGAUGCAGCCAUGCCGCGUGUAUGAAGAAGGCCUUCGGGUUGUAAAGCACUUUCAGCGGGGAGGAAGGCGAUAAGGUUAAUAACCUCAUCGAUUGACGUUACCCGCAGAAGAAGCACCGGCUAACUCCGUGCCAGCAGCCGCGGUAAUACGGAGGGUGCAAGCGUUAAUCGGAAUCACUGGGCGUAAAGCGCACGCAGGCGGUCUGUCAAGUCGGAUGUGAAAUCCCCGGGCUCAACCUGGGAACUGCAUUCGAAACUGGCAGGCUAGAGUCUUGUAGAGGGGGGUAGAAUUCCAGGUGUAGCGGUGAAAUGCGUAGAGAUCUGGAGGAAUACCGGUGGCGAAGGCGGCCCCCUGGACAAAGACUGACGCUCAGGUGCGAAAGCGUGGGGAGCAAACAGG